GAAAAAUUGUCUACUGUAUGUUGC
rnacentral:siRNA from 1 species